rnacentral:snoRNA from 1 species
UAAAAAACUUGUGAUGCUCUUGGGGUCCAUUGUUUACGGUUGAUAGAAGCCAGUUUUGUCAUUUUGAUGAAAUUUCAUCCUAUCCUUAGUUCCAAAACCGCUCCAAUGACUUCCUUUUUAUUGAUUUUUCCUUUUCUUUCCUUGGUUUAGUUUAUUUAUGAUAAGUUAUUGCAAGAAAGGAUAGGAAAAAGACUGAUGAGUGUCGUAGAUAAAUCUUCGAUUCCGAGUAGUCUGACUAUUGGUAUCGAGGUAAUCCAUCUUUAAAACCAUCGCCGUUAGAGGUUGCUUCUGAUUCAUUCGGUUAAGCGACCCAUGAAAUGGUGAUGACCUGAGGUAUGGAACAUCU